rnacentral:lncRNA from 1 species
ACUUGGAAAGGCUCUUCCCUAGGGAAAUGGAUCUCUGAUUCUGCUGGGCUUUGGGAGCGGCAGGCUAAUGCAGCCCAGCGGCCCCCAGCCUCCGGCCUGCAAUCUGAUUGGCAGCACUUCUGCUGGUCCUCGCUACUCCCAGGCCUAGAGGGAGCCUGAGAAGUGACGGAUGGAGGGGAGAGACAUGAGCUUCCAGGAUCGGGGAGGUCAUCCUCUGAAUCUCAGCUCCCCUGGGACCUGGAGUAAUUAAAGUCCCUCGAGACGCUCUGCGUCUUCAUGGAAAACGGGGUUAGAAACGCUCACGUCCCAGAAGGGUUUUGGGCAUUGAAGAGAAAUAACAGUAUGAGAAAAAGAAUGUAUAUAUUCUAUCUAUAUAUAUUCUAUGUUAUUUCACUUUCAUUGAAUAUGAGAAAAAGAAUAUAUAAUAUAAAUAUAAAGAAUAUUAUAUAUUGUUUUUCUAGGUCACUAUGCUGCAUGGCCGAAAUCGGCACAGCAUUAUAAAUCCACACUCCCGGCAUAUGGAAGUUCCUGUGACUGAAUCCGAGCCACAGCUGUAACCCAUGCUGAAGCUGGGCAAUGCUGGAUCCUUUAACCCACUGUGCUGGGCUGGCAAUUGAAACCGUGCCCCCACAGUGACCGGGGUUGCUGCAGUCAGAGUCUUAAUCCCCUGUACCACAGUGAGAACUCCUCUCUGGAAUAUUCUGUCAUAACCUCUUUGGGAAAAGACUCUGAAAAAGAAUGGAUAUAAGUAUAUGUAGAACUGAUUCACUUUGCUGUACACCUGAAACUAACACAACAUGAUAAAGCAACUCUAUCCCAAAAAACAAAAAAACCUCUUGACUUUAGCCACAGAGUGUCCCCUGCUCAUGGCAGUGUCAUCGGUCACAUCACCAGCCCCUCCCACCCAAGGGGACAGGGCUCCCCAAGACUGCACCUCCCUGAGGUCACUUCUCUGCCUUCCACAGCGGUGGUCCUUGGCCUUCAGCCGGCGGGGAGGGACUGUGUCUGUAAGUCUGAGUCCAAAGCACAGCUCGGGGUGGUCAGCAUGCACUCUGACCCCUUAAGGACCGCCUUCUGGGGCAGCCUGAGCUCAGCUGAUGGGUCGCAGGGCACAGGUGGAGAGCAGAGGGCAGCGCGUCUAUGCAGCCUCAGGACCCCCCCAUCCCCCCUUCCGAACUCCAUGUCCUCGCCUUGGCCAAGGUCGCCAUUGAUUUCCCGGGUCUCUUCACCUUCUCAUCCCGACUUCUUGGUGUCACCUUGUCUGUUUUCUCUUUUUCUUUUGCGUGUCCGAUGGGCAGCUUCAGGGCAGCAUCUGUUCCUCUUCCAUCCAUUCUUUGGAAAGGCACUUUGGGGUCUGAGCAAGGCACGCUGGCAAGUAUUGAGAGACACACAGUAUAAAGAGAGGUUUGCAAACUCAGGGGACAGGAGCAGAGAUGAGAGAGCAUGUGGCGGGGAGGCUGGUCCACGUGGGGUAGCCAGGACCUGGCUCUAGUGGACCGUAGCCCAUUGUGAGGGGCGGGGGGAGAGACACGAGUCAUUCCCUCCAGUUGUUUUAACAAACUGGAAAUCCAGGUUAUACAUGUUCAACAUACCGGUUUUUUUAAAUUGAUUUAUAACGUAUAAGGUACAGUUGAGAAAUAACGUUGUGCUCAUUUUGGCUAUACAGCAGUCAUUCAAAUUUAUAUAUAUAUAAAAUUAUAUAUACACACACACACAUUCUUUUUUAUAGUCUUUUCCAUUGUGAUUUAUCAUAGGGUUUUUUUUAGGAUUUUUAUUUUUUCCAUUAUAGUUGAUUUAUAGCGUUCUGUCCAUUUCUACUGUACAGCAAAGCGAUCCAGUCCUACAUAUAUAUAUAUAUAUAUAUACACAUUCUUUUUUUCAUACUGUCUUCCAUCAUGUUCUACCCCAAGAGGCUGGAUAUGGUUCCCUGUGCUGUGCAGCAGGAGCUCAUUGCUCAUCCACUCCAAGUGCAACAGUUUUCAACCAUGUAGUUCCCUGCCCUAUAGUAGGAACUUGUUGUUUAUCCGUUCUCCAUGUAAUACUUUGCAUCUGCUAAUCCCAAACUCCUGAUCCAUCCCCCACCCCCACCCCCCCGGGCAACUACAAGGCUGUUCUCUGCUUCUGUUUCGGAGAUACAUUCAUUUGUGUCAUAUUUUAGAUUCCACAUAUAAGUGAUCUCAUACAGUAUUCGUCCUUCUCUCUCUGGCUUCCUUCACUUUGCUGAGGGCGACCAUCUCUAGGUCCAUCCACAUUUGUAGUAAAUGGCACAUGAUUGCAUUCUUUUUGGGGGCUGUGUAGUAUUCCACUGUGCAUAUAUACGACCAAGUAUAAAUCAAUAGGGGCAGAUCCAGGGUGCAGGGCCUGAGCCUCGUACAGCUGGCAGCCCUUUAAAAAAUGAUGCGAAGUUAGAAAUAUUAUGGGUAAUAUACAAGGAGUAUUGCCUUUGACAGGGACACAGGAUUACAACCGACCAGAGCAUGGAAGAUUCAGCCCCUUUCUCGUGGGCCCCUUCAGAAACAUGGUGAUGCAGAAACACUUCCCAGUUGCAUCCUGGCUUCCUCUGCCCACCCAGAACGCUCAAGAAUUCCCAGCACCUACAAGGCUGGUGCAAGGGGUGGGGGGAGCCUGGGGCUUCGGCUUCAUUGCCUUUUUGGUAAAUCCAUCUCUGGGGCCAGUGGACCCUGUGAGCAAGCACAGGGAGACUCAUGCGGCCCCACUUGGGGUCCCCCGUGAUGAAAUCUGUGCUCGGAUCUCAACGGGCUCCAUCUCGAUCCUGGGAGGGAGGGUGAAAUCUGGCCUCCCAAGUUACCUAUUUAAGGAAUGUGGCCUCAGCCUAUCAAUUUGCUUCAAUUCCAGAAAUACUUAUCAAGUGCGGCCUGUGUUCUAGUGCUAUAGAGGUUAUAGAGAUAAAGGAGAGAUGAUCCAGGCCCUCCAGGAGACUGGAAGAGAGUGGCAGGGCAUCCGCAGACUCCCAGCACCCCAGAAAUCCAAGGUCAUUCUUCCGCUAGCGAUGGCAUCGCAGAUGGAACUCUGGGGAGCUACCCUCUUCCUAAAGCCUGUUUCCUUUCACGCACGUUGAGUACAAACGGCCUCUCACCUCAUUUAAACAGAGACUUUAAAGUAAACAGAGGUAAAGAAAGUCAUUUCAGUUGAAAGCAUCUGUCGGGGCUCCUUCUCCCCCUGCCUGCCAGCAAAGCCUCUCACCUCUCCCUCCUCUCUUUCACUGUAUCCCAGCUCCCGCCCAGGCAAAGGGAAUCCAAUGUGAUGAUUCAGAUGUAGAGUCACUGGGUUGGCUGACCCUGAGGUCCAUCUUGCUAGAGGUCAAGGGCACCGUGGUUAAACGGCAUGCACGGGUGGUCUGGCCUCUUCCUCUGCUUCUUUGCCUGCUGCUCUGACAUUCAAAGGGGGGAGGAGGGUAAAUCCCACCCAGAGAACGUGCCUUCCCCCAGUGUUUGAAUCGAUUCACACCAGACACCCCAGCGCCACUCUAAGGACUUCUGAAGCUGGUUGGCAUUGAGGUUACGCAGUGAUGGUGUCCUGGGGCCCUGGGCACAUCCAAGAUCCUGAGAUGCUUUCCGUGGAGGAUGUGGAAGACGGAAGUGUGUGUGGUACCCAGCUGGAUGCAUGCUUGUCAUUGGUUACUGGAUAGCUGCCAUUGGCGUGGCGAAAAUUCUUCAACUCCCUUCAGUUUUUCUAUGCUCCGGGGGCACCGAGAUGACAAUUACCUGCUUGCCCCAUAGACACAUGCCCGUGUUAGCCUUUCUAGAUUCUCUUGAGGAUUAGGCACUGCGGGUCCUUGCCCACGUAUCCAGAUGCCGUCUCCACUGUUCCCCCAACUCUUCAAAGACAACAGGUGCAAAACCUAACCUGCCUUUCCUCUGCCCGGGUUUCCCUACACGCCCACACCUUUUCCUUCAGUUCGAGUGGAGCGAACGGGAAAGGAGCCCUCGAGUCUCCGGCUUGGGAGGAGGCCCCCACCCACGCCCCAGCAUUCUCCCCAUCCCCAAUCUGUCACCAGGCCUCGUCCAUUCUCCUCAAUACCUCCUGAAUCUACCCCUUAAAUUUCUCCUAGGGCCUCUUCCUUACUUCAAGCUCCCUCCACCCUGGGUUCUUUCUGGUUUACUCCAAGUGUUUCUUGAGUGUUCUCCCCCCUUCCAGUCUCUCUCUGCCCCAAUUCAUGUUGUCAUCAAAAUGCUUCUAACUCAUAAGCAGAUCCCUCUGCUUCCUGCCUAUAUCCUUCUUUGGCUCCCUGCUGCCGAAGGGUAAUGUCCAUAUUCUAAGGAGCACACAGAGAGCCCGAUGGUAACUUGGCCCCAUUAACUCCUAUUUUAUUUCCUGCCUCUCUUCCCACUACUCUGUAUACGUGCCAAACAAAGAAUCUUAAAAACACUGAGCCUUUUCUCUUUCCUCCGCUCUCAUUCCUUUUACCCUGGAAUGCCUCUUCUUUGCUCUGUCUAGAGGCAUCCUACUCAUACUUCAAAACCCAGCUCAGAAAACCUUCUUUGACAGCCCCCGGCAGAAUUAAUCACACACGCCUUGCUUUGCUGGGUUUGUAUCUUGCAUAUACUUGUCAAGGAGCCUUGCAUUUGUCAGGGAGCAUAUAUCAUCAAUGCAUUUUUUUCUUUGCUUUUUACAGCUUUUUUUUUUUUGCCUCCCCGCAGCACACAGAGUUCCUGGGCUAGGGGUCAGAUCCGAGCCCCAGUUGUGACCUAUGCCGCAGCUGUGGCAACACCCGAUCCUUUGACCCACUGCGCCAGGCUGGGGAUCGAACCUGCGUCCCAGUGCUCCAGAGACACAGCCACCGCCGAUCCGUUGCACCACAGGAGGAACUCUCAUCAAUGACUUUUGUUUUUGUUUUUGUCUUUUUGCCUUUUUCUAGGGCCACACCCACGGCAUAUGGAGGUUCCCAGGCUAGGGGUCCAAUUGGAGCUGUAGCCACUGGCCUACACCACAGCCACAGCAACUAGGGAUCCAGCCACAUCUGCGACCCACACCACAGCUCAUGGCAACGCCGGAUCCCUAACCCACUGAGCAAGGCCAGGGAUCGAACCAGCAACCUCAUGGUUCCUAGUUGGAUUCGUUAACCACUGAGCCACGACGGGAACUCCAUCAAUGACUUUUUAAUGUGAAAAUCCUUCCACUCGCUUCUAGCCUAUUGGGGGACAUAAAUGCCAUUUUCAUUUACCUGUAACCCUGAAGUUUGACUCUACGAAUUUCCUGUCUUACUCAUCUCAAAAUGAACUGCCCUCUGACAUAAUGUGUAUUUGAAUCACUGUACAUCGAAGAAUGUUUCUGGUUUUUUCCCUUUUCUCUUGCAAAUAUAUUCUACAUGUCUUAAGGGCCAGGGCUACACCUUACACGCCUUCUAUCUGCCAGGCCAUCUUCAGCGCGGUGGUUUUCAAGUAGUUGUGACAACAGGGGUUGGUUGGAUGGAGCCGGGGGUGUAGCCUGUUUUGUUCUGAUUCACUCCAUUCGGGGCCCGAUACCGACAACCUUAGGCGCUUUCCAGAGAUAAUGAAACUGCUUUUGGUUCAUAAAGUGUGAUCGGAUGUGGGAGUUUACUUUCUUUCCCAAAUAGUUGGUUUUUUUUUUUUUUUUAGUUGCAACUGGUCACAUUCUGUUUCCUAAUUCCUCCCUUUGCUUCCCAUCUCCCCUGCUCCCCAGAAAACAGAAUGGAGGCCCAUAAAUCCCGGACUGGCUUCAGGCG